UAAAUAGAAGUGGCUUUUUGGAGACCGCAGUUCACUUGCAGUAAAUUGAUCAGCUUCAUACUCAUUCUGCAGUUACAUGGACAGCACAGCCAGGAACUAGGUUCUAUUAUUCCUCUAUGGGUUGCGUUUAGCCCUCGGGCACCAUACUGUGCACUCCUGCAAUAUUGGAUGGAGCUUUUACUGGGAAUUUAAUUGUGUACAGAAACCCUACCCUGGACUGACAGACAGUCACACAGAGCAGAACACAACAGGAAAACGUGCAUGAGCCAAGCAUGAAAAGAUGGAGCAUUGGGGCCCAAAGCACCAAUGAUCUCUCUCUGGAAGGACCCCCAUGGAGCUCACUUGAAAUCAAUGGGGGGUCUACAUGCAUCCUUGCUUGAUCAGGAAGUUACAUUGGAUACAUCUUUCUUCUAUGCUUUAAAAAUAUAGUGUUCAGAUCUCUCAAAAAAAACAGCUAUUGGAUCAUGUCCAAAUAUAAACCCAUCACAACAACUAGGGAAAACACAACAGCAAUAGCCUGCACAUGGGCCUUGUACCAGAGAAAUAUUGACGCUGGCAGUGGAAAACAGACCGAGAACAGCAGCGGAGUCAGCCGUGAAGUUCUGUGGAGCAGGAAUGGAGCAAAAGGGAAGAGAAUUAAUAGUUGGCAUCCUAUAAACCACAAAGGUGGAAGGAAGCUAAAGAUGAACCACGUUUAAUGUAUGACCUGCCCUCAAGACAAGCUGCUCACAGGCGGAGCACUUUCAGAUCCCCAGACGAAUAAGAGUUGUGCUCGGCCUUGUGCAUACACACGGGUCAAGGAAGGCCAGUGCUUGGAUGGAGACCUUCAAGAACACCAGGUGCUGCAAGAAAUAACGUUUGUGAAUCAGUCCAGGGCACUCUUCCCUCUUUAGUCAGUACUGAGUAAAUGCCCCAGCAUGGCACUAAGGGCACUCCCUCCCCGGAAGGCACAUUGGGUGAGUCUUGCUUCUCAAUUUGUCUCCAAAGUCUCAGCUUGCAUUUAAACAAAAAAAAAAAAAAAAAAAAGGGUGCAUCUCCAGCUGUUACAAUUGCAAAGAAAACCUUCAACACAUAACCUAAGUGUAACCGAUGCUGCAAUAUCUGCCGGAGUCUGCAGAGAGCCUGAAACAACAGUACUGAAGAGCAAGCUGUUCUGUUCACCUCACUGGGUUCUAAUUCAGAUCCAGUGAUGGUACUUUACAUACCACCACUGUUAACUAUAUCACUGCUCUCCAAAACGUGUAACAAUAGAGAGGACGUAUAUUGUGAAGACCUACACAAGCUGCUUCGGUGAGCUGGUGUUUUGGAUAGGCCUUUUACAGCACCUGGCCAAACUGAAAGGGGAUGCUCGUGGAUUUGUUUCCUGGUGCUGGCUCAGCUGUCCAGAGUUUGGGAAAUCCUGCCCCGGGGUAUGUUUGCAAGAGUGUUAGCACUUGAGAGGGACCAGCAUUUCACACGGGGAAGAUAGCUCACUCUCCCGGCCAUACAGGAAUCUUUCCCUCGGUGCGAAUAAUAGCGGUUUCUGCUAGCAAUGAGUGCUGGAAAUGCCGAGCACUGAAAAGCUAUUGUCGUUACCACGGAGCAGCAGUUAUAAAGAGAGACAGCAACUGAUCUUAAUAGGCUCAGUGUGUGAACUACUUUCUGUUAAUGUAGGCCCUGGUUACGAUGCCAGGGGACAGGCGUCCUUUACAGUGAAUAAGGUUUUAAACCCCUGUAUGCUUAAUGGUUGAACAAUGAUUCACUGAAUACAUUCAUUGGGCACCAGCCAUCCCUGCUGUUCAUGAUUAUACCUUGUUUGAGUGAAUAAUCCGCCCCCUCCCCCCCAACUUACCUUUUCUAGGGACUCUGCAUUGAUCUUUCUGUUGUCUAUUCCUCCUACCCUC